GUCAAAAGAGAAGGAGACAAAGCAAACCGAGCUGCCCUACCGCACCGGAGAAGAACCAGAAACUUGGAAUUUUUGACAACUCUCCGCGGACUCUCCACUACACAGUGGCUUAUCAUUCUGGGGUUAGCCGGCUGCCUAGCCUCGCUUCUUCUUUCUUUGCUCUGAGGGGCAUCCAAUCCACAAAGCCUGCAACAUUUACUAAGAGAUGAAAAAGCUUACGCAGGCAUUGUAAGCUGAAGUGGAUUUGGGUGCCGGGUUCUAUUGUUCUUUGAUUCAGUUUUUCAUUUUUCCGAUUUCUCUGUAAGUAGGAAUAUGUUUGUAGAUAAUUUCGAUUCUUAGAAAAUGUCGAUUCUUGGAGGUGGUAACCUGCAAAUGGAGGCUCCUUGAUCAUCUGGGUUUCUGGAGAUUUCAACUUUUGGGGCUCUGAUUUUCACUCUGGGUUGCUACUUUUUUCACACCAGUUAAUCUCUGUAGAAAAUUUGGGUUCUUGAAGUGGUAACCUGCAAUUUAGGCUCCUUUAUCAUCUGGGUUUCUUGAGAUUUCAGCUGUUGGGGCUCUGAUUUUCAGUCUCGGUUGCUACUUUUCACACCCAGUUAGUCUCUGUAUAAAAUUUCGGUUCUUGAAGUGGUGACCUGCAAUUGAGGCUCCUUUAUCAUCUGGGUUCGUAGAUACAAGUCCUGGGGCUCUGAUUUUCACUAUGGGUUGCUGCUUUUCACACCAGUUAGUCUUUGUAGAAAAUUUAGGUUCUUGAAGUGGUGACCUGCAAUUGAGGCUCCUUUUUCAUCUGGGUUCGUAUAUACAAGGCUUGGGGCUCUGAUUUUCACUAUGGGUUGCUGCUUCUCACUGGUGUUGGUCUCUGUAACUAGAGGGGUAUUUUGUAGAAGACUGAUUAAUAUUCUGUGUGAUGUAGUCAAUGGUCCAAUGAGGCCCUUACUGUGUUUCAUGUACAUCAAUAGUUAACUGAGAAAUUAAUGUGAAAAAUACUUGCUUUCUGGUGUUGUGAUUG